GAGAACACAAGCUAAUAUGGAAUUGCAACCGCCUUAUUCAUAUAUUACAGUUUGGCAAAAGAACACUAAUCAACAUAAUGCCCAAAAUCUAACCUCCUCUCAAACCACCCAAAAGCACAAAUUGAAAAAGAAACCAAAAACACAAAAAGAUAACAUCUUUUAGAUUACCCCUGUGGAGGAGGAGGAGGAGCUAAUAUAAGGCCAGUUUUGGGGUUAGUGUUUGGCCCUGGAUCCAAUUGAUAGUCCAACAAUUCUUCCAUUAUUUCCCUUGAUUUUCCUCCAGUUUCCGAAGAAUCUCCUCCAUUCUCAACCGUCUCCAUCACUUUUCUACCGAUUCCUUAUUUCACGAGAGCAAGUGUGAGCACCAGAAAGGAAUCAAGCAAAACUAAAAGAAAAGAAAAGAAAAGAAAACAAAGAAAGACUGCCCAUUUUAAGAACAUGACUCUGAAGAACAUGACUCUGAAAGCCAACAUUUCACGCAUGACAAGCUACCCAUCCAUCUAUGUCUACGUCCCCACAUCAGACUGCUGCCAUUGCCCAUGGGCAAUAAAAUCAUAUAAGAAAACUCUGCAAUGAUACAGAAAACCUCAAAUAUAACUGAGAGUCCUGUCUUUGCCCCACUGGCUUCAACUCCUCACUUUACAUUUUAACACGCAUUUGUGAUCAUCCUUCAGCUUGUAGAGCUGAUAAAAUUGUAAUAAAUAAUCUAUAACAGUCAUGCAUCUACAAAUAGAUGCAUAACGUUCAAUACAAUCACAAGACAAAAAUCUGUAUCCCAGAAAUUCUAUAACAAGUUGAAAUUUGAUGGUUCAAAUUGUGUUUCAGCCAAUUCCAAUACAACAGAGACAUACCAACCAAUAGAUGGAUGACUAUGAAGCGUUUCACCAACUGCUGAUUCAUGACAGCCAUCUUUUGCCUAUAAUGGGGAAGUGUGAAUAUAAAAAUAUCACGAGGAAGAAUAGCUAAUAUAAUCGCAUAUCAAAACCAUAUUAUAUUUGUGCUAAAAGAUACAACAUAAGCAAGUCUUUGCCACUCACUACUUAACACUAUACACCACUGUCAAUCCUUUCUCAUAACUCAUACGUGUCGCCUUCUACCCACCAAGUUCAACAAUAAAGACAGCUAUUGAGAGAACCACAUAAGAGUUACAAUCCAUAAGCACAAGUGAACUCUUCUUCCAACAGACAACAAGGCAUGCCAAUCAAAAAGGAUAGAAUGCUGACAUAGAACAUCUGAUACUCAUUAGAUUAAACAAUUAUUUUGUUUUGCAUGAGUUGCUUAGCAAGUGAGAUACAAGUGUAGAUGACAUUAAGAACUCCAUAAAUUAGAAAUUUUCAACCAAUGGGGCAGAAAGACAUACCUAAUACAAGCCCAUGUGGAAGGACAAGAAAACAAAAAUCUCCAACCAAACACCAAGUGAUCUUAACACACUGUAGACUGUAGUUAAUACCAAUUCAGGCUGCUUUCAAUGAUAACAAGAAUUGAAAUAAACACACCAACUCAAACGACAUUAAAAAAGAAAUACAAAGAACAAAACAGCAUCUGGUAGUUAUAAAUUUAUAAUUAAUCACACAUAUACAAGUCUAUUACACAAAGCCAAAACUUUAAACAUUGACUAUAGGAAAUCACUCAAAUAUACCUUUCUCUCGAUCAAUUGCUUCAAUACUCACGGCGAUAAUCACUAUAACUGUGACUUUCCCUACCCGUAACUUUCUCCUUCUCAUAGUUACUCUCUUCUUCCUGACCCUGAUUUAAACCACCCACAGUGCAGGUGAGCUGGCUCCCACAGCUAAUCAUCGCAUUCGUCGAUGAAUAAUCCAAGGGAGCCGACGGCCCACUCGGCACACAAUAAUUAGAAGUCUUUUGCAACGAUUCCGGAGGCGAUGGCGACGACAAAUAAACGGGGGCAGAAGGGCCCGUUGGCAAGUUGUAAUUGGAUGCUCCAUUAUACAACGGCCGAGAGGGUAGAUGCGGUUGCGGAGGAUAAUAGGACGAGUAGUAGCCAUAGUGAUCAGAAUAAGGGUACGGAGAGGGAGGGAAACCACUGUAGUGGCCCGACGGAGGUGGAGGAGCGGGAUUGUAAUAAUGACCGUACAUAGGGAGAGUAUGGUAAUCUUGCAUCAGCGGAGGCAAAGAAUGUUCUUUUACGGCCAGUUUCAAGCGGACCUUACCCUGUGGACGGCCAGAGGGACGAAUGAGCUCGAGAGUGCGAACUGAGUUGUCCGAAUCGUCCGAGACGAGAAGCUGACUCAGUGGAAACUUAACGGUACCGACAAGAGGCUUAGGAGUUUCAGAUGGAUUGCAGUGAAGGAUCUCAAGAGUGAGCAUUGAAUCACUUUGGGGAUGAGUAAUAGGCAGAGUGAAUCGCUCGUUCCAAACGGGGCGAGUGCAGCCCGAGUCAUCGGAAUGAGUAGCGAGCCGCUGGUCCGAGUUAUCCAGAUAGAAAGUAGCAUAUGGUUUCAGAUCGCCCUUUCGCCAAUUAACGUUCUUAAGGUGUUUAGCAGAGAUUACGGUGAUCUCGAGAUUGAGAUGCUUCGAGGCCGCGGAAGCCAUGGGUGGCGCUAUGGGGGUUGGUAAAUGGCGCCGGAAGUGGAGGAUGAGCACAAAGUAAAAAAUGGAAUUUGUAGUUGGUUAACUGGAUAAUGUCAUGUAGGGCCGAUCCGGGUACAGAGAUGUUUGAAACGGCGCCGUGUUGUUGCGGUUGCUAAGCGUUUCAACUCUGUAAGUCACCAAUGGAUAGGAAAAUAUCAAAAUGGUCAGUGGAUAACAAAUCUUCUUGCCUUUCUCACACUCUCACUGUAGGAUAAUGGCCGCAUCUCUGAGAACGCCACCACCCCCCUCUCUCUCCUUCUUCUCCUCAUCACUUUUCCAAAUUCCCAAACUCAUAUCUUUCUCAAAACCCAAUUCCUUCAAUUCCCAAUUUAAGCCUCUCUCCAUCUCCUUCCAAGCGGCGACCCUCCCAAUCCUCUCCUUCGCUGGUGAAAAAAUUGGAGAAACCUACUUAGACAUUAAGUCUGCCCCUCCGGAGACCGCACGUGCCGUUGUUCAUCGUGGUAUCAUCACUGACCAGCAGAACAAGCGCCGGGGCACUGCCUCAACCCUCACCCGCGCGGAGGUUAGAGGUGGUGGCAAGAAACCUUAUCAACAAAAGAAAACAGGUCGUGCCCGUCGUGGAUCAAAUCGCACCCCUCUCCGCCCUGGCGGAGGAGUCAUUUUUGGUCCCAAGCCUAGAGAUUGGUCCAUAAAAAUUAACAAAAAGGAGAAACGAUUGGCUAUUUCUACAGCAUUGGCUAGUGCGACUGAGAAUAUGGUUUGUGUGGAGGAAUUUGGUGAGAGAUUUGAGAAGCCGAAGACGAAAGAGUUCAUUGCGGCUAUGAACCGGUGGGGAUUGGACCCGAAAGAGAAAGUUAUGUUUUUGAUGAUGGACGUGAGUGAUAAUGUGGGGCUAUCGAGCAGGAAUAUUGGGACUUUGAACAUGUUGACGCCUAGGACUUUAAAUUUGUUCGAUAUUUUGAAUUCGGAUAAAUUGGUGCUAACGCCGGAUGCUGUAGAUUACUUGAAUGGAAGGUAUGGAGUGGAUGUUGAGGUAGAGAGUGAGGAUGAUGAAGAGGAAGAGGGAGAUUUCGAGCAAGAAGAACAAGAUGGUGGUGAAGGUUAGUAGUUGAUGUGGACUGCUGCUUGUUUAGUUUGAACAUGAUUGUUUUGUUCCUGUUUCUAUUGAUUUCUCCUGCUUCAAUUGCUAUGAGUUACAGUUUGUGGGGCGGUUUUCUGUUGUUGAUAUUGAUAUCCCUUAGCUAUAAUAGAUUACAUGAGGAUCAUAUGGCAUGCAUAUGAAUAAUUUUGUGCUUGAUUUUUGUGUGAUUAUAGUAUCAAUUUUAGUGGUUUAUGAUCCUUCUUGCAAUUGAGGACAGAGUUGGGCAACUUGAAAGUUCUAAUUCCUAAAUUUGGCUGUUGAAAAUUGUCACCUGUAUAUAGGAGUUUUUCUUGCUCUCAGGGCUAUGAUAAUUGAGUUUUACUCGAUUUAAAUUAGAGGAUGGACAUAAAUGCAUACAUUAAACUGGCAUGUGUUCACAAUUGUUAGUAUUUGCUGUUUUGGCAAACACGAAUUACAAUUUCUUAGUUGGAGUUUGUGCUAGAUGUGCUUGUGAUCAUUUGUUAAGUUUUUAAUUUUUGGUCUUUCACAGUACCAGUAAUACCGUAUGUGCUAUUCAUUAGGAUAUUUAUAUGAUAUAAUACAGAUACGAAAGAUUAUACACAUGUUAGAUUUAUUUUGUAGGCAUUUUCUGUUCCCUCUUUUUAUUACCGAAAUUUAUUUUUUGGUAUAUAAAUGUCAAUAUCUUUUGUUGUUGGAAUCUAUACUGAUAUUGCCCUAAUUAGUUUGUCUAUUGUUGAAAGCCAUGGUUUUCUCGUGGUUCAUCCUAGUUGCAUUGGUGCUUGUAGCAAGUUGCUCUAUUUGUUACUUUUGCCUGCUAUUUUUUGUCAGUUAAAGUAUAUGAUGAAUGUCUCAGGUUUAUUUAGUUUCUUGGAUAUUGUCAGCUUGCUGAUU
rnacentral:misc_RNA from 1 species